AGGUCCUUCACAUGUGAGAACUGAGCAUAAAGAACCGACACGUGGUCCCUGAUCGAUAUUUUAUUCUUAACUUUGUAAAAAAAGUUAUAAUGAACUUCACUGACUGAGGACUUUACUUGUUGAAGAUCUUAAAGUCACAUGACUCAAGACGUCCACGGGAGGAGAUGAUCUGCAGCAUCCUGGUGAUCUUCAUCCUGACCUCCUGUGUCUGUGCAGGGUCAUUUGUAGUGAAUGUGACACAGAGCUGGUAUCAUGCAGAGGAGAACCACAACAUCUCACUGGAAUGGAUGUUCCCCACCAGCACGGACCACUCCAACAACUCCCUCUAUGUCUCCUGUGAGAUGUUAGCUGAUCAGACACCAUAUGUCCUGUUUGUGCUACGUGAAGGUGUGGAGGUCCCAGAGUAUCAGCAUGAACGCUUUGCAGGACGAGUCCAGUGGGACAAAGACGUCCUCAGAGAAGGACGACUCAGACUUCACAUCUCCAGACUCCAGACUAAUGACUCUGGGCUGUACUGGUGUCAAGUGGACACAAGUUAUGGGAAGAACUAUAAGGAAUGUCACCUCAAUGUCACUGCAGUGAAGGAUCGACCUGAACCUGAGACAACCAGUGACACCAGUCUGAGAGGAAGGAUCGGUCUCUACUGUGCACUGGGAAUACUGGGACUAGCAGCAGCUCUACUGGGUUUUUAUUUAUUUUAUCUCUACAUUGCAAAACAGACUAGUCAUCAACACAAAAAGGUUUGCACAGAAACAGUCUGAUGUGUUGUGCCUGAAGUCCAGCUGAGACACAUCUGGUCUGUGGAUGUCUCAUGUGUCUCGUGGACCAACAGCAGCAUGAAGGUAUCAGUGGUCUACAGAGACACUUGUGACUCAAGGAGCCCAGCUGGUGAGCGCUGUGCCAUCGUUGUGUGUGUGAAGGGGAACUAGUUUAGUUUCAUCAGGACCAAACUGAUUGAUCUUCUGGUAGGACUUCUGACAUCACAGUAUGAAUGAAGUCAAUGGUGGCAUCAAGCGUCAGGACGACUGUGGGUGGAGAGUCCAAUCAGAGGAUCAACGGUUCCAUCCCAGAACCUGCUGACCCACAUGUUGAUGUCUCCUUGAGCAAGACACUUGACCAGCAUCACUCCUGUAGCUGUGACCACACAGUGUGAAAGGAGUGAAUAUUAGUUACUGAAGGACAGGAAGCUUCUCGUCAGUGUGUGAGAAGGUCAAUGAAGACAUGAAUGGGACACAUCUCUACCUCCUUCACCUGGACUAGAAGCACUUUAUCAUCACUUCUGAUGGAACUUAACACUUAAAGCACUUUGUUUGGAUUUCUACUUUUUUCUUCCUUGUGGUUCUGGUUCUGUUUCCUCUUGAUUGAAGGAACUUAUUGUCACUUUAGAUAAAAACAUCAGCUAAAUUGUGACUUGAGGCACCUUUACUGCCUUGUAAAUCAAUUUACGAGUACAGUUUACAUUUACCAUAUUAUAUAUUAAAAAGCAUUACUUUUACUUUUGUUAUCCUCUUUACUCUUUUAAAAUAGAAUAAAUUGUAUUUUGUGACAUGUAAUGAAAGAUCAUUAAUGCAUUACAUUUUUCUCAUAGAAUCUUGGUUUAAUAUAUAUAUAAUACAAAGUCUUCAAAACCCAAAUCAGCUUAUUCAUUUGUCGUAUUCAAUUUUUCACAGUGAUCCAAACAAUCCUCAUUGAUACAAAUGUAUUAUUAGACGAAUAGGGAUAUAUAUAUAUACACUGUGCCAGAUUACAUGAGACACAUCUAGCAGUUUAGAUGAAUUAGAAUUGAGCAUGACUUUUUUCACGUUUGAAACCGAAAAACGGCCGACUUUUACCUCGUUAAUCUCUUUGUUUAUUAAACGAAAAUACAGGGGGCGUGGCCACUAAACCGGAUGCACGUGACUUUUCACAGUAAGAGUCAACACAAGGGACUGAUUGUAACAGAAGUCUGUUCACAUAUCUACCAGCAGGAGGCACAACACGUAUUUAAACCAUAGAUUUAAUGAUACGUCUCUGUUAAUGGUCCCCCUUACUGAGACAGAUGUAUUUAAUGCUUGUGUUUGAUCAAACCAUUAAAUGAAAUCAUCUGAACCAAGUUGUAUACAUCAUGUAUUUGUAUUUAAGAAAUUAAUAUUGACAGUUUAAGAAUAGAACCGUUUGGUUUAUUCAUCUUGGCCAAGGUGAUAAGAUAUAAUGUUGGUCAAAUGCUGUGGUCUAAGGAAAAUUACUUGUGUUAUUUAUAUGUUAUUAAAGAUGUAUUUAAUGCUGUUUAUUUUAUAUGAUGUUUAAGGGCUUUUAAUGGUAUUCACACAUUUUGACUAGAAUAUCUGACAUUUUUACUCACUGGAAAAGAACAAAGAGAUUCCUUUUUUCUCUUGUCUUCAUUGCUACAUUGUACCUUUCAUGUGACCCUCAGAGUGACCUCUGGAGCUGUGGACGGAUGCACAUCGUCAGGCUAGAAUUGGGUCUGGACCCAUUGCAGCAGACUAGCUGCUCUUUGGCGUGUUGGACACACCAGUGUGACACUGUUACAGGAAAUGUGUUUCACGCCAAAUAACACUGGUCUGCUGAAGCCCGUUUUGGGAGGAGGAUGUUUGAGAAAAGUUGAAAACUGUGACGUUGUCCCAUAAAAUGUAGAUGAAUUGCAGUUUAGUGACACUGGAAUGUAAUUUAGUAGAAGAAAGCAAUGUCUGGACAGGUAUCAGCAUCCUGUUUAGUUGUACAUUUUAUUAAUGAAUGAAUCCCAAUAAUCCCUUGAAGGUAUGUUUGGUUUUUAAUUGAAAUAAAGAUGUACACAACAACGGUUGUAAAUAAACCCUUAAACAUCACAUGAAAUAAACAGCAUUAAAUACAUCUGUAAUAACAACUUAAACACAGUUAAAAAUGAAUAAAUCUAUGGUUUAAAUACACGUAUUCUGCCACCUGCUGGUGGAGAUGUGAACACGUGCAUUAAUGUCACCCUGUACAUCACACACACAUUUAGCAUCCAAGCGCUCCUUUACGUUGACCCUUACUUUUAAAAGUUAAAAUACUUAUGGAUUCAGGGCGGCGUGGAUGGAGGACAAAAAACGACAGUAUGAGAAGAUAAAUGCAUGAAUAAAUAUAUAAUUGAAUGAAUACAUAAAUGUAUAGGUUAAUAAAUAAAGGUAUAAACAAAUGCUGGAAUAAAUACAAAUAUUUAAUCGCUGAAAUAGAUGUCCUAUACUCUUAGUGGCGUAUGCUAAUGAGGUGGGAGGGGUCCUAACCUCUGUCUGAAGCAGGAUUGUGAGUGUGGUCUCCUACUUCUGCCUUGAACAUGUCGUGAAGGUUCAGAUAACCCUCAGCACUUAUUUUAACAGGCCAUUGUUGUUACGAGUCAUUUCAAACCAAGUACAAUCAUUAGCAAGAGAUUUAGAGAAGCACAUUAAGAAGAUGGAUG